rnacentral:lncRNA from 1 species
CCUCAGUCCCAGCUUCUCCAAAGAAGUAAAAGGCAGCUCUGGGGACUAACAGCAGAUCUUGCAGUCAUUCAUAUCAAGCAGUUUUCAAGGCAACUAGUAAACAAAAGUAGAAUAUGUUUCAUGAUUCCAGAGAUUGGAAUCCCUACUUGAUUUUAAACCCUGGGGAUCUGUAGACCAAUAUAAAGCAGUUUAUGAUCUGGAGCAAGAGUCAGCAACUAUAGCUCAUGGGCCAGAUCUGGCCUGCCACCUGUUUCUAUAAAGCUGGGUUUUUGGGGUUUUGUUUUUUGUUGUUGUUGUUUUGACACAGGGUCUCACUUUAUCACCCAGGCUGGAGUGCAAGGGCGUGAUCUUGGCUCACUGCAGCCUUGACCUCCUGGGCUCAAGCGAUCCUCCCACCUCAGCCCCUGAAAGUAGCUGGAAAAACAGCAUCUAGGGUACUUCUACUGUUAUGAUUCUGAGCGUGGGUGAUGGCUCAUCUGGGCACCUACUCUCUGCAAGGCUGUGAACCUGAUCCUCUGAGUAAUCUUCAUGACAGUCCUGAGGGGGUGAAGUUGUCCCCACUUGGGGACAGUGAAUGAUGGAAUGAUCUGAUCCCACAUCUUCUGCCAAAGCACACACCAUAGAAACAAGUACGAAGUGCAUUCUUAAUUCUUCAUGACAGGUGCUGCUUAUUCUAUUUUUAAGGUGGGAAAUUGCAGGUUAUAGAGAAUAAGGUUUUGCAUGAUUGUAGAGCUAGUAAAUGGUGGGUGGGUGGUAACUAUCUCUUCAGGCUGCUGCUUAGAACCUGUAUGCUCCCCAUUCUCAUCCCCUUGCAUCUAAGGUUCCUGUUCCCCAAUGGAAAACCCCUUUGGGAAGCUGAUUCCCCUGCAGCUGUAGAGGGGAGUUUGAGGUUCCCUUGACUCUUCUGUUGAAUGACUGCUGAAUGAAGGUGUCUCCCCUAAAGAGAGCAUUCCUGACACUGUCAUCAUCCCUCCAGUUCUCCCAGAAGCAGACCUUGAGACAAGGAGUUGUGUGCCAGGGAAUUAUCAAUGGAUUGUCUCCAGGAGGAACUGGGAAGGGAGAGGGGAAGCAGGAUAGGAAAGGGUAGAAUUCCAGCAAGGGUAUGAUUUCAGGCAAAUCCCAGCCUGAGCCUGAUCCUGCAGGGUGCUGUGGGGCACAGUGUAGCCUCUUAAUAGGUCUUGAUUCCCAGCAAGGGACCUGAGCUUCUAUUGUCCCCACCAGUCAGUCACUGCAUGGGGGGCUGCCCUAGAACAUAAAGUCCCAGACACUUCUGUCUCUGUGGGUGAGGCCAAAGCAACUCCAAUGCCCCCUGGGAAGUUUCAUUGCUUUCAUCUCUUGUGACCAUCAAUCUAUUGCAACGUGUGCUGUAGCCUACCCCACCCCCAGACGGCUGUCCCUCUGGUCAUUAUUGUCCUAGUCCCAGGACCAGGUGGAGGUCUCCUUAUAAAUCCUAUCUCCCUUUUGUGAAAUGAAGUGGUCGUUUGCAGUGUUUUAAAGGGAGAAUGAAAUAUUCCAGUCAGAAGGACUUUCUUCUGACAGCACGUUACAUGAAAACUGCCAACUCUUUAUACUUAAGACUUCUGUCUACUCAAUUCAUUGAUCCUCCCUCCUCCCCCUCCCACAACACUUAAGCUAUGUAGAAGUGAGUUUCUCAAAGAACUAUCAGGAAGUGUGAGUUGCUCAUUCUUUUGGAAAGCAAUCUAGUGAACUCUAAAAUUCCAAAAUUGCAUGGCCUUUGACCCAGCAGAACUCUAGCCUAGCAAUAGUAAGUACAAUAGUAAGUACUCGACAGGCACACAGUGGUGUUGACUGUAGCCCAUCUUAUAACAUCCAAAGAACUGGGCAUGACCUGCACGUCCAUCCGUAAGGAAGAGGCUGGGGGUGGUGAUCCGUCUGGACUGUGGAACAAGCUUGUCCAACCUGUGGCCUGCAAGCACCCCAGGAUGGCUUUUGUGGCCCAACACAAAUUUGCAUGUGGAUUGCAGGGCCUCACCUCCUUGGUCCUCCUGGGACAUCUCACAUUGACACAGCCCACGCUGCUCAGCCCACCAGCUCUCAGCAGGCCUGCUGCCCCUGCCCUGACCCCGGUUCUCUGAGAGGUUGAAAGGCCAUGGUGAGAUAACCCAGCUCCGUGCCCCCACCUGGCAGAAGAUCAGUUAAAAGGCAUCCAAGCGGAGGACCCCCGUGGCUGCCUAUUUAGAGUUCCUUCAGAGCCUCCCAUGAUAACAGCCACCAUGGCUGAGCGCUUACAUAGCAGAGCUUACAGCUAAGAGCAUGGACUCUGAAAUAAGUCACCUGUCAUCUCCAGGCCUUAGUUUGCUCUUCUGUGAAAUGGGCAUAACGGUACCUCUCAGAGUGGUUAUAACUAAAAGAUCAUAUGCAUGAAAAGACAUACUGCAUGUUGCAUGUUGUCAUGUGGGAACUAAAAGUUGAUCUUGUAGAGUAGAAUAGUGGUUACUGGAGGAUGGGAAGGGUCAGGGGUGCAGGUGGAGAUAGCCCAAGGUAGGUGAAUGGAUACGAAGUUACAGCUAGCUAGGAGGAAUGAGCUCCAGUGUUUUAUAGCAUUGUAGGUGACUGUGAUAGUAAUUUGUUGUAUAUUUUCAAAUAGCCAGAAGGGCAGAUUUUGAAUGUUCCCAACACAAAGAAAUGAUCAAUGUUUAAGGUGAUUUUUAUGUCAAUUACCCUGAUUUGAUCAUUAUACAUUGCAUAACUAUUGUAAUAUCACUGUACCCUAUAAAUAUGUGCAGUUAUGUCAAAUAAAAGCAAAAAUGCUAAAAAAGAU